rnacentral:rRNA from 1 species
UACGGGGGGGGUAAGCGUUGUUCGGAAUUACUGGGCGUAAAGGGCUCGUAGGCGGCCAACUAAGUCAGACGUGAAAUCCCUCGGCUUAACCGGGGAACUGCGUCUGAUACUGGAUGGCUUGAGUUUGGGAGAGGGACGCGGAAUUCCAGGUGUAGCGGUGAAAUGCGUAGAUAUCUGGAGGAACACCGGUGGCGAAGGCGGCGUCCUGGACCAACACUGACACUGAGGAGCGAAAGCCAGGGGAGCAAACGGG